rnacentral:rRNA from 1 species
UACGAAGGGGGCUAGCGUUGCUUGGAAUCACUGGGCGUAAAGCGCACGUAGGCGGAUUGUUAAGUCAGGGGUGAAAUCCUGGAGCUCAACUCCAGAACUGCCUUUGAUACUGGCGAUCUCGAGUCCGGGAGAGGUGAGUGGAACUGCGAGUGUAGAGGUGAAAUUCGUAGAUAUUCGCAAGAACACCAGUGGCGAAGGCGGCUCACUGGCCCGGUACUGACGCUGAGGUGCGAAAGCGUGGGGAGCAAACAGG